rnacentral:rRNA from 1 species
UACAGAGGGCGCGAGCGUUGUCCGGAAUCACUGGGCGUAAAGGGCGCGUAGGUGGCCACCAUAAGGCCGCGGUGAAAGUUCGGGGCUCAACCCCGGAUCGGCCGCGGCGACUGUGGGGCUCGGGUACUGUAGAGGCAGAUGGAAUUCCGGGUGUAGCGGUGGAAUGCGUAGAGAUCCGGAAGAACACCAGUGGCGAAGGCGGUCUGCUGGGCAGUGGGAUCGGAAGGUCCCUUCAACCGACACUGAGGCGCGACAGCGUGGGGAGCAAACAGGG